rnacentral:rRNA from 1 species
AGUGAACGCUGGCGGUAGGCCUAACACAUGCAUGUCGAACGGCAGCACAGUAAGAGCUUGCUCUUACGAGUGGCGAGUGGCGGACGGGUGAGGAAUACAUCGGAAUCUACUUUUUCGUGGGGGAUAACGUAGGGAAACUUACGCUAAUACCGCAUACGACCUACGGGUGAAAGCAGGGGAUCUUCGGACCUUGCGCGAUUGAAUGAGCCGAUGUCGGAUUAGCUAGUUGGCGGGGUAAAGGCCCACCAAGGCGACGAUCCGUAGCUGGUCUGAGAGGAUGAUCAGCCACACUGGAACUGAGACACGGUCCAGACUCCUACGGGAGGCAGCAGUGGGGAAUAUUGGACAAUGGGCGCAAGCCUGAUCCAGCCAUACCGCGUGGGUGAAGAAGGCCCUCGGGUUGUAAAGCCCUUUUGUUGGGAAAGAAAAGCAGCAGGUUAAUACCCCGCUGUUCUGACGGUACCCAAAGAAUAAGCACCGGCUAACUUCGUG